CGAUGGCCUCCAAUUGGUGCCAGCAACUGCCCCAAACAUGAUUCUGGACCUGAUCUGUUCAUCACGUUUACGAGUGUCGCUGCGAUCGUGGAUUUUGACGUCAAUUUAGUGGUUCACCGAGUAAGUCAGCACCGGAGAUUACUGAGCCGCAGUGAAACUCUAUUGAACGGAAGACAGGUGCUUCUGCAUUAGAAUCUCAUGCAUCUUUUCCUGCUGCUGCGCAUUCAAUUGACUGGUUGUGGGGAAAUGGGGAGCGUAUUCAGACUUUGAUCUAGAAACCUAGAUGGCUUCACUUUGUGCAUUCUGCUUCAAAAGCUAAGCUCGUAGAACAAUGCUGCUGCAGGAUUCGUCUUAUGACAGGAUGUCAGAGAAUGAAUCUGCUGCAAAUGGUCUGGAAGUCCCGGAGUCAGUUGGGCACACAUUGCCAGCCAAGUGUCCUUGCGCAGUUGGGCCAGGGUGUCAGGCAUCUGCAGAGUAUCAGCUGAGAUCAAGCUGUAACGUAUCGAUAUCGUCGAAGGAUGUUCAAGAUCAGGUGACGAGAGUGCAUGGCAAAUGUGUGCUGCAUGAAUGACAUGGCCGAUAGCCCUAGCAGUCUCCCAGGAAGUCUCCUAAGAGGUUGCAUUUUGCAGGGACUCUGUGGGCCUGUUCGAGGCUGAACAACGUACACUGGCUUCGAAUCUGGGAGCUUGGGGCUGUGAGAUGGCUGGCAGAAGCGCACAGCCCACAGCAGCACCUUGAUCGUCUGCGGUGGAUUGAGAUCAGGAUGCCAGAGGCUGCAACUGGCCAAGAGAGUGCUUGGUUUGCAUGUUUCCUUGCCCAACCUCCCACGCUGCCGUGCUGUCAUGCACCAUGGGCACCCUGUCUUGGUUUCCUCCCAUGGGCCACUUGAAGCACCUGAACAUCACUUUCCAGAGUGGUCCUGGAGAUGUCUGCCAGGCCCUCGCUUGUGC
rnacentral:lncRNA from 1 species